rnacentral:pre_miRNA from 1 species
AGUGGAAUUGCUGGAUCACAUGGUAGCUGUAUUUAACCUUUUAAGGAACUUCUAGAUUGUUUUCCAAAGCUAAUGUAUCUUUGUCUAGUUCCUCCAACAAC